CCAUCGGCUUGCGGGUCGAUGUGAGCCAACGGUGAGAUACCACUCUUUGCGAGCUAGGGUUCUAACGGCCACCCGUCAUCCGGGGGCCGGACAGUACCUGGUGGGCAGUUUGACUGGGGCGGUCGCCUCCUAAAAGGUAACGGAGGCGCGCAAAGGUUUGCUCAGGCUGGUUGGAAAUCAGCCGACGAGUGUAAAAGCAGAAGCAAGCUUGACUGUGAGACCAACAAGUCGAACAGGGAGGAAACUCGGCUUUAGUGAUCCGACGGUUCUGAGUGGAAGGGCCGUCGCUCAACGGAUAAAAGUUACUCUAGGGAUAAC
rnacentral:rRNA from 1 species